UACGUAGGGGGCGAGCGUUGUCCGAAGUUACUGGGCGUAAAGCGCGCGUAGGCGGGUCGUUAAGUGGGAAGUGAAAGGCUGGGGCUCAACCCCAUGCAGUGCUUCUCAUACUGGCGGUCUUGAGUGAGGUAGGGAGAAGUGGAAUGGCUGGUGUAGCGGUGAAAUGCGUAGAUAUCAGGAGGAAUACCGGUGGUGUAGACGGCUCUCUGGACCGUAACUGACGCUGAGACACGAAAGCGUGGGUAGCAAACAGG
rnacentral:rRNA from 1 species